CCUACGUGGGGCAGCAGUGGGGAAUAUUGCGCAAUGGGCGAAAGCCUGACGCAGCGACGCCGCGUGAGGGAUGAAGGUCUUCGGAUCGUAAACCUCUGUCAGCAGGGAAGAACGGUCACUGUGCUAAUCAGCAGUGAAUUGACGGUACCUGCAAAGGAAGCACCGGCUAACUCCGUGCCAGCAGCCGCGGUAAUACGGAGGGUGCGAGCGUUAAUCGGAAUUACUGGGCGUAAAGCGCUCGUAGGCGGUAUGUCAAGUCACGGGUGAAAUCCCCGCGCUCAACGUGGGAACUGCCUUUGAAACUGGCAAACUGGAGUGUGGGAGAGGAUAGUGGAAUUCCAGGUGUAGGAGUGAAAUCCGUAGAUAUCUGGAGGAACAUCAGUGGCGAAGGCGACUAUCUGGCACAUAACUGACGCUGAGGAGCGAAAGCGUGGGUAGCAAACAGGAUUAGAUACCCCAGUAGUC
rnacentral:rRNA from 1 species